GGUAAGAUGGCCGAGAGUUAGGCAGCGGGUUGUAGCCCCGAGCAGAAAGGUUAAAGUCCUUUUCUUGUCA
rnacentral:tRNA from 1 species